GGUGUCGUGGUGUAGUAGGUUAUCAUGUUAGUCUAACACAUUAAAGAUCUCCAGUUCGAGUUUGGGCGACGCCA